rnacentral:rRNA from 1 species
AUUGAACGCUGGCGGCAUGCCUUACACAUGCAAGUCGAACGGCAGCACGGGAGCAAUCCUGGUGGCGAGUGGCGAACGGGUGAGUAAUAUAUCGGAACGUGCCCAGUCGUGGGGGAUAACGUAGCGAAAGCUACGCUAAUACCGCAUACGAUCUAUGGAUGAAAGCGGGGGAUCGCAAGACCUCGCGCGAUUGGAGCGGCCGAUAUCAGAUUAGGUAGUUGGUGAGGUAAAGGCUCGCCAAGCCGACGAUCUGUAGCUGGUCUGAGAGGACGACCAGCCACACUGGGACUGAGACACGGCCCAGACUCCUACGGGAGGCAGCAGUGGGGAAUUUUGGACAAUGGGCGCGAAGCCUGAUCCAGCAAUGCCGCGUGCAGGAUGAAGGCCUCGGUUGUAAC